CUGCUCCUGUGUUGUCUGCACCUGACUUCACACGCCCAUUCAAGUUAGCUGUUGAUGCAAGUGAUGUUGCAGCUGGUGGUAUAUUACUCCAAGAAGACCAAGAUGGAAUUGACCAUCCGGUAUGUUAUUUUUCCAGAAAAUUCAAUAAAAUACCGCACUGAAAGAUACAGGAACAGUUUCUUUCCUGCAAUGGCAUAUAUGUUGUAUUAAAACGACCAUAGCUAAUUAAUGACUAUAGAUUAUUUUAUCGUAACUUUAGUAGUUUUUAGUAAUAUUAUCUGAUUUUAAUGUAAGACAGUUUCACCAUUUUUAAAUUCCGGCGCAUUUGUAAUUUGUUGUAUUUGUACAUAACUUUCUUGUAAACAUAUUGCAAUUCACAUACGUGUGCGAAAAUAUGUAAUAAAUCAUAACAAUAAUAAUAAUAAUAAUAAUAAUAAUAAUAAUCAGAAACAUUCCACCAUUGAAAGAGAAUGUCUUGCCCUCAUCCUCGCCCUAGAACUCUUUAAUGUUUACGUUUCCUCCCCCCGAAUUUCCCCUCAUUGUGCACAGUGACCACAACCCCCUCGUGUUCCUCCACAAGUUAAAGAAUAAGAAUCAACGUUUAUUGCGAAGCAGCUUGAUUCUAUAUGUACAAUAUGAGUACAAUAUGAACAUAAACCAUAACAAAGGGCGAGACAACUUGAUCGGGGACUGUCUCUCAAGACCACGAACAUAUUCCAUGAGAACUUGAAAGAAAGUCUAUCCAACUUUUUUUUCUUCAAGGAGGAGGGUUUUACAUGAUAGCUAUUAUCAUGUAUAUGUGAUAGCGAUUAUCAUGUAUAUUUUACAACAUUUCAUAUUACACAUCAAUACA